AGUUUGAUCCUGGCUCAGGAUGAACGCUGGCGGUAUGCUUAACACAUGCAAGUCGAACGGUGUCUUCGGACACAGUGGCGGACGGGUGAGUAACGCGUGAGAAUCUGGCUCUAGGUCUGGGACAACCACUGGAAACGGUGGCUAAUACCGGAUGUGCCGAGAGGUGAAAGGUUAACUGCCUAGAGAUGAGCUCGCGUCUGAUUAGCUAGUAGGUAGUGUAAUGGACUACCUAGGCGACGAUCAGUAGCUGGUCUGAGAGGACGAUCAGCCACACUGGGACUGAGACACGGCCCAGACUCCUACGGGAGGCAGCAGUGGGGAAUUUUCCGCAAUGGGCGAAAGCCUGACGGAGCAAUACCGCGUGAGGGAGGAAGGCUCUUGGGUCGUAAACCUCUUUUCUCAGGGAAGAACACAAUGACGGUACCUGAGGAAUAAGCAUCGGCUAACUCCGUGCCAGCAGCCGCGGUAAUACGGAGGAUGCAAGCGUUAUCCGGAAUGAUUGGGCGUAAAGCGUCCGCAGGUGGCAAUGUAAGUCUGCUGUUAAAGAGUCUAGCUCAACUAGAUACAAGCAGUGGAAACUACAUAGCUAGAGUACGUUCGGGGCAGAGGGAAUUCCUGGUGUAGCGGUGAAAUGCGUAGAGAUCAGGAAGAACACCGGUGGCGAAGGCGCUCUGCUAGGCCGUAACUGACACUGAGGGACGAAAGCUAGGGGAGCGAAUGGGAUUAGAUACCCCAGUAGUCCUAGCCGUAAACGAUGGAUACUAGGCGUGGCUUGUAUCGACCCGAGCCGUGCCGUAGCUAACGCGUUAAGUAUCCCGCCUGGGGAGUACGCCGGCAACGGUGAAACUCAAAGGAAUUGACGGGGGCCC
rnacentral:rRNA from 1 species